UUGUCUCAAAGAUUAAGCCAUGCAUGUCUCAGUACAAGCCGAAUUAAGGUGAAACCGCGAAAGGCUCAUUAAAUCAGUUAUGGUUCCUUAGAUCGUACCACACUUACUUGGAUAACUGUGGUAAUUCUAGAGCUAAUACAUGCAAACAGAGCUCCGACCGGAGACGGAAGGAGCGCUUUUAUUAGAUCAAAACCAAUCGGCGUCGGGUUCGCCCGUCGUCGUACAACCUGGUGACUCUGAAUAACUUUAAGCUGAUCGCACGGUCUCGCACCGGCGACGCAUCUUUCAAAUGUCUGCCUUAUCAACUGUCGAUGGUAGGUUCUGCGCCUACCAUGGUUGUAACGGGUAACGGGGAAUCAGGGUUCGAUUCCGGAGAGGGAGCCUGAGAAACGGCUACCACAUCCAAGGAAGGCAGCAGGCGCGCAAAUUACCCACUCCCGGCACGGGGAGGUAGUGACGAAAAAUAACGAUACGGGACUCAUCCGAGGCCCCGUAAUCGGAAUGAGUACACUCUAAACCCUUUAACGAGGAUCAAUUGGAGGGCAAGUCUGGUGCCAGCAGCCGCGGUAAUUCCAGCUCCAAUAGCGUAUAUUAAAGUUGUUGCGGUUAAAAAGCUCGUAGUCGAAUUUGUGUCCCGCGCCGCCGGUUCAUCGUCCGCGGUGUUAACUGGCGUGUCGCGGGACGUCCUGCCGGUGGGCUUAGCUCCACGGGGCGGCCCAACUCAAUCCCGCCGCGGUGCUCUUCACUGAGUGUCGAGGUGGGCCGGCACGUUUACUUUGAACAAAUUAGAGUGCUUAAAGCAGGCUAAAACUUCGCCUGAAUACUGUGUGCAUGGAAUAAUGGAAUAGGACCUCGGUUCUAUUUUGUUGGUUUUCGGAACCCCGAGGUAAUGAUUAAUAGGAACGGAUGGGGGCAUUCGUAUUGCGACGUUAGAGGUGAAAUUCUUGGACCGUCGCAAGACGAACAGAAGCGAAAGCAUUUGCCAAAAACGCUUUCAUUGAUCAAGAACGAAAGUUAGAGGUUCGAAGGCGAUCAGAUACCGCCCUAGUUCUAACCAUAAACGAUGCCAGCUAGCGAUCCGCCGACGUUCCAUUAUAUGACUCGGCGGGCAGCUUCCGGGAAACCAAAGCUUUUGGGUUCCGGGGGAAGUAUGGUUGCAAAGCUGAAACUUAAAGGAAUUGACGGAAGGGCACCACCAGGAGUGGAGCCUGCGGCUUAAUUUGACUCAACACGGGAAACCUCACCAGGCCCGGACACCGGAAGGAUUGACAGAUUGAGAGCUCUUUCUUGAUUCGGUGGGUGGUGGUGCAUGGCCGUUCUUAGUUGG
rnacentral:rRNA from 1 species